UGUUGCUUAUGGUUAUACGUUGGUUUGUUUUGACAGCCUUGUGUGUGGAAACUCCCAUGGUAUUAUCAGAAAGUAUGGCUUGAUGUGGUGCAGACAAUGCUUCCGCAGCAACACUAAGGAGAUUGGAUUAAUUAAGCUCAACCUAAGCUUUUGCCUUUCUUGGAUUUCUUCUGGAGUUGGAAGCAAAAAUGGCCACCUGUGAAGAACAACUGGUGAGAGAAAACGUAUUUUGUUGAUCUGCUCAAAAAAAGCAUUCCCUAUGGUGGUUAAAGUUUUGCCCAAGACAAGGAUUCUCAAAUAUUAGAUUCUAAGCACCUGCUUGAAAUAGUAUCUUAUCGUAUUUUGGCAGCAAGUCUUGAUCAAAGCAUGUAAGCAGUGAAGCAAAUCAGAUGGUAGAUUGUUUAGCUAAUGUAUAGGAUGCUAACAACAGGAUAUCUUUUAUUAUGAUGUUAUGCCCUACCAUCUUUUAGUUGCAAGAUGACUGUUUGGGGAUUUUAUUCUCAU